rnacentral:rRNA from 1 species
GAUGAACGCUGGCGGCGUGCCUAAUACAUGCAAGUCGAGCGAACAGACGAGGAGCUUGCUCCUAUGACAUUAGCGGCGGACGGGUGAGUAACACGUGGAUAACCUACCUAUAAGACUGGGAUAACAUCGGGAAACCGGUGCUAAUACCGGAUAACAUGUUGAACCGCAUGGUUCAAGAGUGAAAGACGGAAUUGCAGUACCUAAUAGAUAGAUCCGGGUGUCAUUAGCUAGUUGGUAAGGUAACGGCUUACCAAGGCAACGUUGCUAAGCCGACCUGAGGGGUGGUCGGGCCACACUGGAAUGGAGACACGCUCCAGACCCCUACGGGAGGCAGCAUUGGGGAAUCUCCGCCAUGGGGCGAAGGCCUGACGGAGCAACGCCGCGUAAUUGAGGAAGUUCUUCGGAUCUUAAAACUUUGUUAUUAGGGAAGAACAAAUGUGUAAGUAACUAUGCACGUCUUGACGGUACCUAAUCAGAAAGCCACGGCUAACUACGUG